GAUGAACGCUAGCGGCAGGCCUAAUACAUGCAAGACGAACGGUAAGAUUUGUAGCAAUACGAAUCCUAGAGUGUCGCAAGGGUGCGUAACACGUAUGCAAUCUACCCUGUACAGGAGUAUAGCUCCCCGAAAGGGGAAUUAACCCUCCAUAAUAUCGAGAUGUGGCAUCACAUUUCGAUUAAAACUGAGGUGGUACAGGA
rnacentral:rRNA from 1 species